CAGAAUUUGCAUGAGCCUGGGGCUAGGCUCUGGGCACCAACCUCCGGAUGUCCUCAGGGAUCUGUGAGCAGAGAGGCCUGGCUGCAAAGGGUCUGGAGGACGGCCCUUCUGCUAAGGUGUCCGCUCCCAAGGCAGAGGGCUUGGGGGAGCUGGAGGAGGCUGGGUUCCAGGAGGGGUGGCCAGAGGGGAAGACUGAGUCUGAUUUCUUCACUCAACAAGUGCUCACUGAAUGCCUGGGAUGCAGCGGUGAACAAAACCAACAAAAGACCCUGCUUUUAUGGAGUUUAUAAUCUGGUGAAGGAUGGGGAGAGAGCAAGAGACAAUUUCGGGUGCUAAGCACAUGCAGAUGAAGAAAAUAAACCAGGAGGGGUGGGGAGAGGGGCUUAUCUGCACAGGCUCCCUCAGCUGAGACCUGAAUGACAGAAGGGGCUGGUGGGCUGGGGAAGGGCCACUCCCACCAGAGGGAAUGGCGAAUGCUAAGGCCCUGCAGCGGGAGCGACCCUGUGUGUAUGAGGAACAGAAAGGCCAGUAUGGGUGCGCAGUGAUGGGGGAGCAGUCAGUGAUGCAGUCAAGAGGUCGGUGAGGCAAGAUCAGGUAGAGACUCACAGGCCACUUAAAGGAAUUUGGAUUUUGCUUUAAAUGUACCAGGAAUGCGCAUUUUUGAGGGGAGGGGUGGGGAGAGACAGAGAGAGGAGGCUGGGCACAGUGGCUCACAUCUGUAAUCUCAGCACUUUAGGAUGCCAAAGUGGGAGGAUCACUUGAGGUCAGGAAACCAGCCUGGCCAACAUGUCAAAACCCCGUCUCUACCAAAAAUACAAAAAUUAGCCGGGCGUGGUAGUGGGUGGCCUAUAAACCCAUCUACUUGAGAGGCUGGG
rnacentral:lncRNA from 1 species